rnacentral:misc_RNA from 1 species
ACAAACUUGGUCAUUUAGAGGAAGUAAAAGUCGUAACAAGGUUUCCGUAGGUGAACCUGCGGAAGGAUCAUUAAUGGUUUUUUGCUUGAAGGGCUGUAGCUGGCCACAACGUAGGCAAGUGCACGCCUGGAUUGCCAAUGGUGUUAUCCACACGACUCACUUGUGCACAACUGUAGCGCCUUGGGUGGUGCUAUGUUUGUUGGUUCAAUAAAACGUGUAUGCAACGGGCGCAUGUCUGCGCUAAAACAGAAAGACUUUUGGGGAUCAGACAACAUCAUAACAACUUUCAGCAACGGAUCUCUUGGCUCUCGCAUCGAUGAAGAACGCAGC